AGUGAACGCUGGCGGCAGGCCUAACACAUGCAAGUCGAACGGCAGCACAGUAAGAGCUUGCUCUUACGGGUGGCGAGUGGCGGACGGGUGAGGAAUACAUCGGAAUCUACUUUUUCGUGGGGGAUAACGUAGGGAAACUUACGCUAAUACCGCAUACGACCUACGGGUGAAAGCAGGGGAUCUUCGGACCUUGCGCGAUUGAAUGAGCCGAUGUCGGAUUAGCUAGUUGGCGGGGUAAAGGCCCACCAAGGCGACGAUCCGUAGCUGGUCUGAGAGGAUGAUCAGCCACACUGGAACUGAGACACGGUCCAGACUCCUACGGGAGGCAGCAGUGGGGAAUAUUGGACAAUGGGCGCAAGCCUGAUCCAGCCAUACCGCGUGGGUGAGGAAGGCCUUCGGGUUGUAAAGCCCUUUUGUUGGGAAAGAAAAGCAGCAGGUUAAUACCCCGCUGUUCUGACGGUACCCAAAGAAUAAGCACCGGCUAACUUCGUG
rnacentral:rRNA from 1 species